UACGAAGGGGGCUAGCGUUGUUCGGAAUUACUGGGCGUAAAGCGCACGUAGGCGGACAUUUAAGUUGGAGGUGAAAGCCUUGGGCUCAACCCAAGAAUUGCCUUUGAUACUGGAUGUCUCGAGACCGGGAGAGGUGAGUGGAAUUCCGAGUGUAGAGGUGAAAUUCGUAGAUAUUCGGAAGAACACCAGUGGCGGAGGCGGCUCACUGGCCCGGUUCUGACGCUGAGGUGCGAAAGCGUGGGGAGCAAACAGG
rnacentral:rRNA from 1 species